GAGAUGUAGCUUAGUGGUAGAACACUUGCCUAGCAUGUAUGAGGCCCUGGGUUCAAUUCCUAGUAUUACA
rnacentral:tRNA from 1 species